GACGAACGCUGGCGGCGUGCUUAACACAUGCAAGUCGAACGGAAAGGCCCUGCUUUUGUGGGGUGCUCGAGUGGCGAACGGGUGAGUAACACGUGAGUAACCUGCCCUUGACUUUGGGAUAACUUCAGGAAACUGGGGCUAAUACCGGAUAGGAGCUCCUGCUGCAUGGUGGGGGUUGGAAAGUUUCGGUGGUUGGGGAUGGACUCGCGGCUUAUCAGCUUGUUGGUGGGGUAGUGGCUUACCAAGGCUUUGACGGGUAGCCGGCCUGAGGGGGUGACCGGCAACAUUGGGACUGGGAUACGGCCCAGACUCCUACGGGAGGAAGCGGUGGGGAAUAUUGCACAAUGGGCGGAAGCCUGAUGCAGGAACGCCGGGUGGGGGAGGACGGCCUUCGGGUUGUAAACCGCUUUCGCCUGUGACGAGGCGUGAGUGACGGUAAUGGGUAAAGAAGCACCGGCUAACUACGU
rnacentral:rRNA from 1 species